rnacentral:rRNA from 1 species
GAUGAACGCUGGCGGCGUGCCUAAUACAUGCAAGUCGAGCGAACGGACGAGAAGCUUGCUUUUCUGAUGUUAGCGGCGGACGGGUGAGUAACACGUGGAUAACCUACCUAUAAGACUGGGAUAACUUCGGGAAACCGGAGCUAAUACCGGAUAAUAUUUUGAACCGCAUGGUUCAAAAGUGAAAGACGGUCUUGCUGUCACUUAUAGAUGGGUCCGCGCUGCAUUAGCUAGUUGGUAAGGUAACGGCUUACCAAGGCAACGAUGCAUAGCCGACCUGAGAGGGUGAUCGGCCACACUGGAACUGAGACACGGUCCAGACUCCUACGGGAGGCAGCAGUAGGGAAUCUUCCGCAAUGGGCGAAAGCCUGACGGAGCAACGCCGCGUGAGUGAUGAAGGUCUUCGGAUCGUAAAACUCUGUUAUUAGGGAAGAACAUAUGUGUAAGUAACUGUGCACAUCUUGACGGUACCUAAUCAGAAAGCCACGGCUAGCUACGUG